rnacentral:rRNA from 1 species
UAUCAGUCAUGCAUAGCAUAUCAAUAAGCGGAGGAAAAGAAAACUAACAAGGAUUCCCUUAGUAACGGCGAGUGAAGCGGGAAGAGCUCAAAUUUGAAAUCUUCAAGGUUUUACCUUGACGAAUCGUAGUUUAAAGAAGUGUUUUCUGUUGAAGUUUUGGUAAAAGUUCUUUGGAAUAGGACAUCAUAGAGGGUGAGAAUCCCGUAUUUGACCAUUACUUUCAGCUUUGUGAUACACUUUCAAAGAGUCGGAUUGUUUGGGAAUGCAGUCCAAAAUGGGUGGUAAAUUUCAUCUAAAGCUAAAUAUUGGCGAGAGACCGAUAGCGAGCAAGUACCGUGAGGGAAAGAUGAAAAGAACUUUGAAAUGAGAGUUAAACAGUACGUGAAAUUGUCAAAAGGGAAGCGUUUGACACCAGUGUUGUUUUCUCGAAAAUCAAUUAAAAAGAGUUGGAUUUUGUGUUGUAUUGACUUUAUCGGCUUUCUUCACUCUUUUCCAGCUUUUUUUAAUGCACUUUUCGUUUAACAAGUCAACAUCAGUUUCUUUUGUUGUAAAAAGGUCAUUGGAAGGUGGCUUUCUCUUCGGAGAAAGUGUUUAUAGCCUUUGACUCAUGCAAUCGGAGAGACUGAGGUCUGCAGCGUAGAUCCUUCGGGGUUAGAUACAUUUGUGCUAAGUUAUAGCUUUUCAUAGACAACUUGUUGACUAUGUUUAGUCUUCUAGCUUACUCGCUUAUGCUAUUUUACCUACGCUUAGGAUGUUGAACUCUAUCACACACAG